GAUGGCGCUAUGGAAUAACGUAUCUGACUACAAAUCAGAUGGUUCCAGGUUCGAGUCCUUUCUGGAACA